ACCAAGGCGUUUAACAUGUGCGCGAGUCAUUGGGCUUUACGAAACCCAAAGGCGCAGGGAAGGUACAGGUUUGGCUUGUCUAGGCUGAGGUGAGAUCCUGUUGUUUUGCUCAUUAAUUCCAAGCUGCGAGCAGCAGGCGCACCACCGACCCGUCCCAUGACGUAGACAUGUGGCCUUGUGCUAUGUGCGACCGUCAGGGCGGAGCAAGAGCGUACAUAUUGACACCCGAAAGAUGGUGAACUAUGCUUGCGAAGGUUGAAGCCAAAGGAAACUCUGGUGGAAAAUCUUAGCGAUUCUGACGUGCAAAUCAAUCGUAUAAGGUGAGUAUUGGGGCGAAAGACUAAUCGAACCACCUAGUAGCUGGUUCUCUCCAAAGUUUCCCUCAGGAUAGCUGGCGUUCUGAGAUAUAAACAGUUUUAUCCGGUAAAGCGAAUGAUUAGAGGCAUUGGAAAGAAAAAAUCGUCAACCUAUUCUCAAACUUUAAAUGGGUAAGAAGCUUAACUCGCUUAAAUGGAGUUUUGCAUUGAAUGUGAGUGCCAAGUGGGCCGUUUUUGGUAAGCAGAACUGGCGCUGUGGGAUGAAUCAAACGUGCCAUUAAGUUGCCUAACGCGACGCUCAUAAGAUACCACAAAAGGUGUUGAUUGGUCCAGACAGCAGUACGGUGGCCAUGGAAUUCAGAAACUGCUAUGGAGUGUGUAACAACUCACCUGCUGAACCAACCAGCUCUGAAAGUGGAUGGCGCUCGAGCGUUGGACCUAUACCGUACCGUCGCUGCAAGCUGGGCCUAAGCAGGUUGAGGGAAAACUGACUUGGUUCAGGCAUGGAGUGGCGGCGACGAGUAGGAGGGUCGCUGUGGCUAUCGCAAAGCCUCAGGCGUAAGCCUAGGUGAAGCAACCACAGGGGCAUAUCUUGGUGGUAGUAGUAAAUAUUCAAGUGAGAACCUUGAAGGCCGAAGUAGAGAAGGGUGCCAUGGGGACAACAGUUGGCCAUGGAUCAGGCGGUCCUAAGUGAUCCGGUAAAUCGGAACAGAGACGGUGUGCCUGACAUUGUCCGCUUGUGGGCCUUCUUAGUAUUACUGCUAAAUUGUACUAUUGCAAUGUAGCCCCCUGUAGCAAAAGGGAAUCGGGUUAAUAUUCCCAACCCUGUCCACGGAGAUUGGUGCAUGUUGGAUCUUUGAUUCAGUGUUUGCCCAGCGCGGUAACGCAACCAAACUCGGAGACGUCGUGAGUCUUUUGAAGAAAGGAGACAAAGCAGAUAUAUCAUAAUGGAGUGUUUUGUGCUUCAGCUCAAAAGCCAUUGUGUC
rnacentral:ncRNA from 1 species